UACAGAGGUCUCAAGCGUUGUUCGGAUUCAUUGGGCGUAAAGGGUGUGUAGGUGGCGCCGUAAGUCGGGUGUGAAAUCUCGGGGCUUAACUCCGAAACUGCAUUCGAUACUGCGGUGCUUGAGGACUGGAGAGGAGACUGGAAUUCAUGGUGUAGCAGUGAAAUGCGUAGAGAUCAUGAGGAAGACCAGUGGCGAAGGCGGGCCUCUGGACAGUUCCUGACACUGAGACACGAAGGCCAGGGGAGCAAACGGG
rnacentral:rRNA from 1 species